rnacentral:lncRNA from 1 species
CAACAUACUUACAUGGGAAAAAGCCGCUUUGAUUUCCAGCCUGAUCUUUUGUUACGAUAUUGACUUUGUGAUAUUGAUUCGUCUAGAGAUCUAUAUUAGGGCAUUCGGUAAAACCACUACCCUCCUUUUCUAUAGGUUGAUUUAGCAGUUGUGUGACAUGGCUAGAGUGCUACUAAUUCUUGGGGUAUAUCAGCGGAUCG